rnacentral:rRNA from 1 species
UAAUUCUAGAGCUAAUACAUGCUGAAAACCUCGACUUCGGAAGGGGUGUAUUUAUUAGAUAAAAAACCAAUGCCCUUCGGGGCUCCUUGGUGAAUCAUAAUAACUUAACGAAUCGCAUGGCCUUGCGCCGGCGAUGGUUCAUUCAAAUUUCUGCCCUAUCAACUUUCGAUGGUAGGAUAGUGGCCUACCAUGGUGGCAACGGGUAACGGGGAAUUAGGGUUCGAUUCCGGAGAGGGAGCCUGAGAAACGGCUACCACAUCCAAGGAAGGCAGCAGGCGCGCAAAUUACCCAAUCCCGACACGGGGAGGUAGUGACAAUAAAUACUGAUACGGGGCUCUUUUGGGUCUCGUAAUUGGAAUGAGUACAAUCUAAAUCCCUUAACGAGGAACAAUUGGAGGGCAAGUCUGGUGCCAGCAGCCGCGGUAAUUCCAGCUCCAAUAGCGUAUAUUAAAGUUGUUGCAGUUAAAAAGCUCGUAGUUGAACCUUGGGUCUGGCUGGCCGGUCCGCCUCACCGCGAGUACUGGUCCGGCUGGACCUUUCCUUCUGGGGAAUCUCAUGGCCUUCACUGGCUGUGGGGGGAACCAGGACUUUUACUGUGAAAAAAUUAGAGUGUUCAAAGCAGGCCUUUGCUCGAAUACAUUAGCAUGGAAUAAUAGAAUAGGACGUGCGGUUCUAUUUUGUUGGUUUCUAGGACCGCCGUAAUGAUUAAUAGGGAUAGUCGGGGGCGUCAGUAUUCAGCUGUCAGAGGUGAAAUUCUUGGAUUUGCUGAAGACUAACUACUGCGAAAGCAUUCGCCAAGGAUGUUUUCAUUAAUCAGGGAACGAAAGUUAGGGGAUCGAAGACGAUCA